GGAGGAAAAGAAACCAACAGGGAUUGCCCUAGUAACGGCGAGUGAAGCGGCAACAGCUCAAAUUUGAAAUCUGGCCCUUUCAGGGUCCGAGUUGUAAUUUGCAGAGGGCGCUUUGGCGUUGGCAGCGGUCUAAGUUCUUUGGAACAGGACGUCACAGAGGGUGAGAAUCCCGUACGUGGUCGCUAGCCUUUGCCGUGUAAAGCCCCUUCGACGAGUCGAGUUGUUUGGGAAUGCAGCUCUAAAUGGGAGGUAAAUUUCUUCUAAAGCUAAAUACUGGCCAGAGACCGAUAGCGCACAAGUAGAGUGAUCGAAAGAUGAAAAGCACUUUGGAAAGAGAGUCAAAUAGCACGUGAAAUUGUUGAAAGGGAAGCGCUUGCAGCCAGACUUGCCUGUAGUUGCUUAUCCGGACUUUUGUCCGGUGCACUCUUCUGCGGGCAGGCCAGCAUCAGUUUGGGCGGUUGGAUAAAGGUCUCUGUCAUGUACCUCUCUUCGGGGAGGCCUUAUAGGGGAGACGUCAUGCAACCAGCCUGGACUGAGGUCCGCGCAUCUGCUAGGAUGCUGGCGUAAUGGCUGUAAGCGGCCCGUCUU
rnacentral:rRNA from 1 species